rnacentral:piRNA from 1 species
UGAUUAAGAAAACUUGCCAAAAACGGAGAC